GUAGGUGGCAAGCGUUGUCCGGAGUUAUUGGGCGUAAAGCGCGCGCAGGUGGUUCUUUAAGUCUGAUGUGAAAGCCCCCGGCUCAACCGGGGAGGGUCAUUGGAAACUGGGGAACUUGAGUGCAGGAGAGGAAAGUGGAAUUCCACGUGUAGCGGUGAAAUGCGUAGAUAUGUGGAGGAACACCAGUGGCGAAGGCGACUUUCUGGCCUGUAACUGACACUGAGGCGCGAAAGCGUGGGGAGCAAACAGGGAUUAGAUACCCUGGUAGUCCACGCCGUAAACGAUGAGUGCUAAGUGUUGGGGGGUUUCCCGCCCCUCAGUGCUGCAGCUAACGCAUUAAGCACUCCGCCUGGGGAUACGGUCGCAAGACUG
rnacentral:rRNA from 1 species